CCUACGGUGAGCAGCAGUCGAGAAUCAUUCACAAUGGGGGAAACCCUGAUGGUGCGACGCCGCGUGGGGGAAUGAAGGUCUUCGGAUUGUAAACCCCUGUCAUGUGGGAGCAAAUUAAAAAGAUAGUACCACAAGAGGAAGAGACGGCUAACUCUGUGCCAGCAGCCGCGGUAAUACAGAGGUCUCAAGCGUUGUUCGGAAGCACUGGGCGUAAAGCGUGCGUAGGCUGUUUCGUAAGUCGUGUGUGAAAGGCGCGGGCUCAACCCGCGGACGGCACAUGAUACUGCGAGACUAGAGUAAUGGAGGGGGAACCGGAAUUCUCGGUGUAGCAGUGAAAUGCGUAGAUAUCGAGAGGAACACUCGUGGCGAAGGCGGGUUCCUGGACAUUAACUGACGCUGAGGCACGAAGGCCAGGGGAGCGAAAGGGAUUAGAUACCCCAGUAGUC
rnacentral:rRNA from 1 species